rnacentral:rRNA from 1 species
GACGAACGCUGGCGGCGUGCUUAACACAUGCAAGUCGAACGGAAAGGCCCUGCUUUUGUGGGGUGCUCGAGUGGCGAACGGGUGAGUAACACGUGAGUAACCUGCCCUUGACUUUGGGAUAACUUCAGGAAACUGGGGCUAAUACCGGAUAGGAGCUCCUGCCGCAUGGUGGGGGUUGGAAAGUUUUGGCGGUUGGGGAUGGACGCGCGGCUUAUCAGCUGGUUGGUGGGGUAGUGGCUUACCAAGGCUUUGACGGGUAGCCGGCCUGGGAGGGUGACCGGCCACAUUGGGACUGAGAUACGGCCCAGACUCCUACGGGAGGCAGCAGUGGGGAAUAUUGCACAAUGGGCGGAAGCCUGAUGCAGCAACGCCGCGUGCGGGAUGACGGCCUUCGGGUUGUAACCCGCUUUCGCCUGUGACGAAGCGUGAGUGACGGUAAUGGGUAAAGAAGCACCGGCUAACUACGUG